rnacentral:rRNA from 1 species
AGAGUUUGAUCAUGGCUCAGGACGAACGCUGGCGGCGCGCCUAACACAUGCAAGUCGAACGAGAGAGAGGGAGCUUGCUUCCUCAAUCGAGUGGCGAACGGGUGAGUAACGCGUGAGGAACCUGCCUCAAAGAGGGGGACAACAGUUGGAAACGACUGCUAAUACCGCAUAAGCCCACAGGUCGGCAUCGACCAGAGGGAAAAGGAGUAAUCCGCUUUGAGAUGGCCUCGCGUCCGAUUAGCUAGUUGGUGAGGUAACGGCCCACCAAGGCGACGAUCGGUAGCCGGACUGAGAGGUUGAACGGCCACAUUGGGACUGAGACACGGCCCAGACUCCUACGGGAGGCAGCA